AUGCCUUGUGCAUGCUGUCGAGGUUGCCGGGCGCGCAGUAGGCGGCGGUGUCCGGGUGGUCGCGGUGCGCCCAGACGGCGGCCACGGCGGCGUGGCACCCCUGCGCCACCACGCUCCCCAGCGGCCACGCGUCCGCCAGGUCGCGCCGCAGCACCACGUACUGCACCACCACGUCCUCGGCCUCCUUCCUCGCUUCCUCGCCGACAGCGGCGGCGGCGGCGGCGGGAGACGGGACUGCGUCCGGCGUGGAGGCGGCCGCGCUCAUGCUGGCUCGCGGUGGGGUUCGGAGGAUGGGAAUCCUGGCGAGGCCGGGGAGGAGGUAGGCGGCGCCUGGGAGCGUGCUGGCUACGGGGGACGGCAAGCGAAGAGGCAGGAGGGACAACAUGGUCCUCAGUUUUCUGCCUGUGGUUUGUUUUGCUACAAGUCCACUUGUUUUUCUUCUUUGUUUUCCUUGUUCUCCUUUUCAUAUUCUCUUUUUCUUCAGCUAUAUAUUUUUCUAGAGAAAUGAUUCCCUUCACCCAAUAG
rnacentral:rRNA from 1 species